UUCCGGUUGAUCCUGCCGGACCCGACUGCUAUUUGGGUGAGGAUAAGCCAUGCGAGUUGAAUGGGAAACCUAAAGUUCCCAUGGCAAACUGCUCAGUAACACAUGAUCAACUUAACCUAUAGAGAAAAAUAACCUCGGGAAACUGAGGAUAAUGUUUCAUAGCUGAAUUGGCUUGGAAAAGUUUUUCGGCGAAAGGGGUAAAAAAAAAUGGUUUUUAUCUGCUAUAGGAUAGGAUCGUGUUCGAUUAUGGUUGUUGGUGAGGUAAUGGCUCACCAAGCCGAUAAUCGAUAUGGGCCGUGAGAGCGGGAGCCCCGAGAUGGGUACUGAGACAACGACCCAGGCCUUACGAGGCGCAGCAGGCGCGAAACCUCCGCAAUACACGAAAGUGUGACGGGGUUACCCAAAGUGUUCAAUAGAACUGUGGUAGGUGAGUAAUGUUCCCUACUAGAAAGGAGAGGGCAAGGCUGGUGCCAGCCGCCGCGGUAAAACCAGCUCUUCAAGUGGUCGGGAUAAUUAUUGGGCUUAAAGUGUCCGUAGCCGGUUUAGUAAGUUCCUGGUAAAAUCGGGUAGCUUAACUAUCUAUAUGCUAGGAAUACUACUAUACUAGAGGGCGGGAGAGGUCUGAGGUACUACAGGGGUAGGGGUGAAAUCUUAUAAUCCUUGUUGGACCACCAGUGGCGAAGGCGUCAGACUGGAACGCGCCUGACGGUGAGGGACGAAAGCCAGGGGAGCGAACCGGAUUAGAUACCCGGGUAGUCCUGGCCGUAAACGAUGCAUACUAGGUGAUGGCACGGCCAUGAGCCGUGUCAGUGCCGUAGGGAAACCGUUAAGUGUGCCGCCUGGGAAGUACGGUCGCAAGGCUAAAACUUAAAGGAAUUGGCGGGGGAGCACCACAAGGGGUGAAGCCUGCGGUUCAAUUGGAUUCAACGCCGGA
rnacentral:rRNA from 1 species